GCACCAGUGGUGUAAUGGUUAGCAUUAGAGCCUUCCAAGCUCUUGAUCCGGGAGAUGUUAAGUUUAAACUUAAUGUUCGGAUAUUCAAAUCCCGGCUGGUGCA
rnacentral:tRNA from 2 species